rnacentral:rRNA from 1 species
AUACAUGCAAGUCGAGCGGACAGAUGGGAGCUUGCUCCCUGAUGUUAGCGGCGGACGGGUGAGUAACACGUGGGUAACCUGCCUGUAAGACUGGGAUAACUCCGGGAAACCGGGGCUAAUACCGGAUGCUUGUUUGAACCGCAUGGUUCAAGCAUAAAAGGUGGCUUCGGCUACCACUUACAGAUGGACCCGCGGCGCAUUAGCUAGUUGGUGAGGUAAUGGCUCACCAAGGCAACGAUGCGUAGCCGACCUGAGAGGGUGAUCGGCCACACUGGGACUGAGACACGGCCCAGACUCCUACGGGAGGCAGCAGUAGGGAAUCUUCCGCAAUGGACGAAAGUCUGACGGAGCAACGCCGCGUGAGUGAUGAAGGUUUUCGGAUCGUAAAGCUCUGUUGUUAGGGAAGAACAAGUACCGUUCGAAUAGGGCGGUACCUUGACGGUACCUAACCAGAAAGCCACGGCUAACUACGUGCCAGCAGCCGCGGUAAUACGUAGGUGGCAAGCGUUGUCCGGAAUUAUUGGGCGUAAAGGGCUCGCAGGCGGUUUCUUAAGUCUGAUGUGAAAGCCCCCGGCUCAACCGGGGAGGGUCAUUGGAAACUGGGGAACUUGAGUGCAGAAGAGGAGAGU